rnacentral:rRNA from 1 species
AUUGAACGCUGGCGGCAUGCCUUACACAUGCAAGUCGAACGGUAACGCGGGGCAACCUGGCGACGAGUGGCGAACGGGUGAGUAACGCAUCGGAACGUACCCAGUAGUGGGGGAUAGCCCGGCGAAAGCCGGAUUAAUACCGCAUACGACCUGCGGGUGAAAGCGGGGGAUCGCAAGACCUCGCGCUAUUGGAUCGGCCGAUGUCAGAUUAGGUAGUUGGUGGGGUAAAGGCCUACCAAGCCUACGAUCUGUAGCUGGUCUGAGAGGACGACCAGCCACACUGGGACUGAGACACGGCCCAGACUCCUACGGGAGGCAGCAGUGGGGAAUUUUGGACAAUGGGCACAAGCCUGAUCCAGCCAUGCCGCGUGCGGGAAGAAGGCCUUCGGGUUGUAAACCGCUUUUGUCAGGGAAGAAACGCUCUGGGCUAAUACCCCGGGGUAAUGACGGUACCUGAAGAAUAAGCACCGGCUAACUACGUGCCAGCCGCCGCCGUAAUAC